rnacentral:rRNA from 1 species
UGCCAGCAGCCGCGGUAACACGAACCGGACGAACGUUAUUCGGAAUCACUGGGCUUAAAGAGUGCGUAGGCGGCCUGGCAGGUUGGGUGUGAAAUCCCUCGGCUCAACCGAGGAACUGCGCUCAAAACCGCCAGGCUUGAGUGAGAUAGGGGAGAGCGGAACUGAUGGUGGAGCGGUGAAAUGCGUUGAUAUCAUCAGGAACACCGGUGGCGAAGGCGGCUCUCUGGGUCUCUUCUGACGCUGAGGCACGAAAGCUAGGGUAGCGAACGGGAUUAGAUA